rnacentral:lncRNA from 13 species
AUGAUAGGACACAGCUGGAUAACCAGAAAGAGGAGCACGGAGGCCAUGGUAAUGCAGAGCAGCAGGUGGAGGGGGCCGAGAGGGGUGCUAGGCCGACCAUCAGCGAGUUCAAAAAGACCUGGAGCUUCAGGCGGACCGCGGUUGCCAGAAGAGAGCUUGUGCGAUUGGAUGAGAUUGAAGAUCCAGAAUCUCCGGCCCUACCCACACGUCAGGGUAGAGGCCGCCCAGCCCAGACCUAUUCAAGACGCGGGCGAGGGGGGAGAAGGAGCUCCCCGGCUGACCUGGAGCACACCGAGACAGGCUCCCCUACUCCAAUGGACACAGAGCCUGCCUCAGAGGCCCUAGAGCCCUGCUCAGGUGGCAGAUUAGACCCCUGCCCAGGUGGCAGAUUAGACCCCUCCUCUUGGCGGGACUUUGGAUCUGCAUUCCGCACGGCUUUUCCCUACUUUGGGAGAAGAAAGAGGAGGACAGGACCACUGCUGCCCCUGCCCAAAUUAUGGCUGCUCUUCCUAGCUAUGGGGGUAGUGGGGACAUGUAAGCUGCCUCCAGUAUAGAGGAGGACAGUGAUGAGCUGACCCUGAAGCAGCUUCAGGAGCGGCUGAGCAGUAGGGGGAGAGGUGAGGCCAGAGGCAGAGGGGUCAGAGGGAGAGGCAGGGCGAGGGGAAGGGGUAGAGGGAGAGGACGAGGGAGAGGUAAGGGGCGUGGGAGGGGUAGGAGGGUAGAGCCAGAGUCGAGCACUGCAGAUGAAGAAGCAGUGAUUUUUGUAAAUGAGUUGGAACAGCAGCAGGUGUAUCAGCCUCAGGAGGAGGAGAGGGAGCAGAGUCCUGAGGAGGCUGUUGUAGUGGUUGAACCGCAAAGCCUUUCUCCUUCUCAACAGUCCAGCUCCGAGUCUAUGCCUCUUGAAUCUGAUCCAGAGCCAGAGACAACAGAAGAAAAGCCCAGACAAUAAUGAUAAUGUAACAGAGGUGGAGAAGGAGGAGGAGGAGGAGGAGAAGGACGAGGUGGAGGAGGAGGAGAAAGACGAGGAGAAGGACGAGGUGGAGGAGAGGAUUGAGGAAGAAAAGUCAGAGUAUUCUAGCAUAUCAGACAGUGAGGGC